rnacentral:rRNA from 1 species
CACGUAUUUAGCCGGGGCUUCUUGGUCAGGUACCGUCAUUCUCUUCCCUGCUGACAGAGCUUUACAUACCGAAGUACUCCAUCGCUCACGCGGCGUCGCUGCAUCAGGGUUGCCCCCAUUGUGCAAUAUCCCCCACUGCUGCCUCCCGUAGGAGUCUGGGCCGUGUCUCAGUCCCAAUGUGGCCGUCACCCUCUCAGGCCGGCUACUGAUCGUCGCCUUGGUGGGCCGUUACCCGCCAACAAGCUAAUCAGACGCGGACCCAUCCCGCACCGCAUGCGCUUUCCGCGCGGCCCCAUCGCGGGGCCUGCGCAUAUGCGGUAUAGCAGCCGUUUCGGCUGUUGCCCCAGUGCGGGGUAGGUUGUCCACGCGUUACUCACCCGUCCGCCACUCAGUCAGGGGGCUCCUCUCCGAAAAAUUCCGACCCCUCUCGCUUCGUCGACUUGCA